GGUGGGGUGCGAGAGUGGAUUAAUCGGAUUGUCUUGAAAACAAUUGUGGCAGCAAUGUCACCGUGGGUUCGAAUCCCACCCCCA
rnacentral:tRNA from 1 species